GAUGAACGCUGGCGGCGUGCCUAAUACAUGCAAGUCGAGCGAACGGACGAGAAGCUUGCUUCUCUGAUGUUAGCGGCGGACGGGUGAGUAACACGUGGAUAACCUACCUAUAAGACGGGGAUAACUUGGGGAAACCGUAGCUAAUACCGGAUAAUAUUUUGAACCGCAGGGUUCAAAAGUGAAAGACGGUGUUUCGGUCACUAAUAGAUGGAUCCGCGCUGCAUUGGCUGGUUGGUAAGGUAAAGGCUUACCAAGGGAACGAGGCAUAGCCGACCGGAGAGGGUGAUCGGCCACACUGGAACUGAGACACGGUCCAGACUCCUACGGGAGGCAGCAGUAGGGAAUCUUCCGCAAUGGGCGAAAGCCUGACGGAGCAACGCCGCGUGAGUGAUGAAGGUCUUCGGAUCGUAAAACUCUGUUAUUAGGGAAGAACAUAUGUGUAAGUAACUGUGCACAUCUUGACGGUACCUAAUCAGAAAGCCACGGCUAACUACGUG
rnacentral:rRNA from 1 species